rnacentral:rRNA from 1 species
GAUUCUGGCUCAGAACGAACGCUGGCGGCAGGCCUAACACAUGCAAGUCGAGCGCGCCCUUCGGGGUGAGCGGCGGACGGGUUAGUAACGCGUGGGAACGUACCCUUUGGUAGGGAAUAGCCACUGGAAACGGUGAGUAAUACCCUAUGAGCCCUUCGGGGGAAAAGAUUUUAUCGCCAAAGGAUCGGCCCGCGUUAGAUUAGGUAGUUGGUGGGGUAAUGGCCUACCAAGCCUACGAUCUAUAGCUGGUUUUAGAGGAUGAUCAGCAACACUGGGACUGAGACACGGCCCAGACUCCUACGGGAGGCAGCAGUGGGGAAUCUUGGACAAUGGGGGCAACCCUGAUCCCAGCCAUGCCGCGUGAGUGAAGAAGGCCUUAGGGUCGUAAAGCUCUUUCGCCUGUGAAGAUAAUGACGGUAGCAGGUAAAGAAACCCCGGCUAACUCCGUGCCAGCAGCCGC